rnacentral:rRNA from 1 species
GAUGAACGCUGGCGGCGUGCCUAAUACAUGCAAGUCGAACGAAACUUCUUUAUCACCGAGUGCUUGCACUCACCGAUAAAGAGUUGAGUGGCGAACGGGUGAGUAACACGUGGGCAACCUGCCCAAAAGAGGGGGAUAACACUUGGAAACAGGUGCUAAUACCGCAUAACCAUAGUUACCGCAUGGUAACUAUGUAAAAGGUGGCUAUACUACCGCUUUUGGAUGGGCCCGCGUCGCAUUAGCUAGUUGGUAGGGUAAAGGCUUACCAAGGCAAUGAUGCGUAGCCGAAUUGAGAGGUUGAUCGGCCACAUUGGGACUGAGACACGGCCCAAACUCCUACGGGAGGCAGCAGUAGGGAAUCUUCCACAAUGGGCGAAAGCCUGAUGGAGCAACGCCGCGUGGGUGAAGAAGGUCUUCGGAUCGUAAAACCCUGUUGUUAGAGAAGAAAGUGCGUGAGAGUAACUGUUCACGUUUCGACGGUAACUAACCAGAAAGCCACGGCUAACUACGUG